rnacentral:rRNA from 1 species
UACGAAGGGGGCUAGCGUUGUUCGGAAUUACUGGGCGUAAAGCGCACGUAGGCGGCUUUGUAAGUUAGAGGUGAAAGCCCAGGGCUUAACCCCUGGAAUUGCCUUUAAGACUGCAUCGCUAGAAUCGUGGAGAGGUGAGUGGAAUUCCGAGUGUAGAGGUGAAAUUCGUAGAUAUUCGGAAGAACACCAGUGGCGAAGGCGACUCACUGGACACGAUUGACGCUGAGGUGCGAAAGCGUGGGGAGCAAACAGG